UAGGGAAUCUUCGGCAAUGGACGAAAGUCUGACCGAGCAACGCCGCGUGAGUGAAGAAGGUUUUCGGAUCGUAAAACUCUGUUGUUAGAGAAGAACAAGGACGUUAGUAACUGAACGUCCCCUGACGGUAUCUAACCAGAAAGCCACGGCUAACUACGUGCCAGCAGCCGCGGUAAUACGUAGGUGGCAAGCGUUGUCCGGAUUUAUUGGGCGUAAAGCGAGCGCAGGCGGUUUCUUAAGUCUGAUGUGAAAGCCCCCGGCUCAACCGGGGAGAGUCAUUGGAAACUGGGAGACUUGAGUGCAGAAGAGGAGAGUGGAAUUCCAUGUGUAGCGGUGAAAUGCGUAGAUAUAUGGAGGAACACCAGUGGCGAAGGCGGCUCUCUGGUCUGUAACUGAAGCUGAGGCUCGAAAGCGUGGGGAGCAAACAGG
rnacentral:rRNA from 1 species